rnacentral:rRNA from 1 species
AGAGUUCGAUCCUGGCUCAGGAUGAACGCUGGCGGCGCGCCUAACACAUGCAAGUCGAACGGUUAAAGCCCCUUCGGGGGUGCAUAGAGUGGCGAACGGCUGAGUAACACGUGGGCAACCUGCCCCCCGCACCGGGACAGCCUCGGGAAACCGUGGUUAAUACCGGAUACUCCGCCACCCCCGCAUGGGGGCGGCGGGAAAGCCCAGGCGGAGGGGGAUGGGCCCGCGGCCUGUUAGCUCGUUGGCGGGGUAACGGCCCACCAAGGCGAUGAUGGGUAGCCGGGUUGAGAGACCGACCGGCCAGAUUGGGACUGAGACACGGCCCAGACUCCUACGGGAGGCAGCAGUGGGGAAUCUUGCACAAUGGGCGAAAGCCUGAUGCAGCGACGCCGCGUGCGGGACGAAGGCCUUCGGGUCGUAAACCGCUUUCAGCAGGGACGAGGCCGAGAGGUGACGGUACCUGCAGAAGAAGCCCCGGCUAACUACGUGCCAGCAGCCGCGGUAAUACGUAGGGGGCGAGCGUUAUCCGGAUUUAUUGGGCGUAAAGCGCGCGCAGGCGGCCUGCUCGGUCGGGAGUCAAAUCCGGGGGCUCAACCCCCGCCCGCUCCCGAUACCGGCGGGCUUGAGUCUGGUAGGGGAAGGCGGAAUUCCCAGUGUAGCGGUGGAAUGCGCAGAUAUUGGGAAGAACACCGGUGGCGAAGGCGGCCUUCUGGGCCACGACUGACGCUGAGGCGCGAAAGCUAGGGGAGCGAACAGGAUUAGAUACCCUGGUAGUCCUAGCCGUAAACGAUGGACACUAGGUGUGGGGGGAGGAUCCCUCCGUGCCGCAGCCAACGCAUUAAGUGUCCCGCCUGGGGAGUACGGCCGCAAGGCUAAAACUCAAAGGAAUUGACGGGGGCCC